rnacentral:rRNA from 8 species
CAACGCGACCCCAGGUCAGGCGGGGCUACCCGCUGAGUUUAAGCAUAUCAAUAAGCG